UUGCUUCGGCAGCAUGUCCACUAGGAUCGGAAUGAUACAGAGAAGAUUAGCAUGGUCCCUGCGCAAGGAUGACAUGCAAAUUUGUGAAGCACUCCAUAUUUUU